rnacentral:rRNA from 1 species
CCCUUAGAUGUUCUGGGCUACACGCGCGCUACACUGAAGCUAUCAACACGUUUUCCCUCCCUGAGAAGGGCGGGUAACCUUUUGAAUCAGCUUCGUGGUAGGGAUCGGGGCUUGCAAUUGUUCCCCGUGAACCAGGAAUUCCUAGUAGACGCGAGUCAUAAGCUCGCAUCGAUUAAGUCCCUGCCCUUUGUACACACCGCCCGUCGCUACUACCGAUUGAACGUUUUAGUGAGGCAUUUGGACCGACGCAUCUCAGUUUAACCGCUGGUUUGUGUUGGAAAGACUUCCAAACUUGAGCGUUUAGAGGAAGUAAAAGUCGUAACA